UUCUCAUUCUUCUUUUCCUCCUCCUCUUCUUCUUUUUUCUGUCUCUCUUUCGUGCGCUCGCGUGGCUCAUUCCGCUUACACAAUGACAUUUGAGCUUCGUUCGUGAGCUCAAGAAAAUAAUAAGUAGGGACUAUGAGAUAUCGAAAGGUGCCGGAAAACAGUGGCGUAGCACGUUUCCUUCCUCUCGUGGAUAUCUCUUUGUUUUCUUCUUCGAGGCCUAUGUACGUAUGAUACAAACGAAUGAUAUACUGUCUAACGUUAAAAAAUGAGAGAAAAGCGAUAUAACGGACGUCUAAUAAAUCAGCCGCGAUCUAAGGCGAUCACUUUCCUCGCGUGACACGCGAGGAUCCACCAAGAGGACUUUCUUCUCUCCUGAGAAAUAAAGUGAUCUUCUAAGAUUGAUGUCAUCGACGACGACAAAAAAGGAUAUUACAUAAUCGCUUCACGAUCGAAACGGUAUAGUAAAAUUGAUGAUAAAUCUCUCUAGUAAGUACGAUACCAACCUAAAGAGAGUGAACAUACAGCCCUGACCAUGCUCAAGUUUCCUCUUACCAAAGAUACUUCGAAACGAUAAAACCUCCAAGUUCCAGAGAUACCUGAAGGAACAGAGAGAAAGAGAGAGAGAGAGAAAGAGAGAGAGUGAGAGAGGUAGACCAAAGAAGCUUUCGCAAGGCUCUCUCGAACGGUACGCGGACACUCUACGAGAAUCUGCGAGCGCGAAGGUCAACGAGUUCUCUCUCUCUGCAGCUCGGAGAACGCAGACAGAAACGCGUUAAAGCGAGCAAACGAGCACGCACGCGAUGAUCCUUGUCUCACACGCACGCAUACACACACAUACACAACUGUAUGCGUGUGUGCAUACACACAUGAAUAUAUACGCACACAUAUACACACAUUUACAUAUAUAUUAUGAGAAACUUCCGAAUUAUAAGAUUUAUUUACUCGAUGAACUUGGAUUAAAAAUAUUCUUCAAUUUAAUCAAAUCAACGUUUAACUAUCUAUCGUAUUAUUACUAAUUAUCUAUCUUUUCUUUCUCUCUCUUUCUUUAUAAUUAUUCUUCCUACGUAAAAAGAAAAAGAUAACCUUCGACACGUUCCCACGUACCUCUU